UUGAUUUUCCAGGAACGUCAAGAACCUCAUUAGUUAUCACCAUUGGGCCAUCACCUAGGCAUAGAGCAGAAACAUCAAGUACCAUUUUGUUUGGACAGAGAGUGAGUCUCCAUUCGGAAUGAUUUGUGUGGAUAGGUUGUACUACAUACGUGUGCCAAGAUAGUUUUAUCCUUUCGUGCAGGCUAUGAAGGUGGAAAACUCUCCAUUCGGAAUGAUUUGUGUCGAUAGGUUGUACUACUGCAUAUGUGUGCCAAGAUAGUUUUAUCCUUUCGUGCAGGCUAUGAAGGUGGAAAACAUGUUGAAGAUUAAGGAAGAAUUCGAUUACAAAAGUUUGU
rnacentral:lncRNA from 1 species